rnacentral:rRNA from 1 species
GACGAACGCUGGCGGCGUGCUUAACACAUGCAAGUCGAACGGCAAGGCCCUGCUUUUGUGGGGUGCUCGAGUGGCGAACGGGUGAGUAACACGUGAGUAACCUGCCCUUGACUUUGGGAUAACUUCAGGAAACUGGGGCUAAUACCGGAUAGGAGCCCCUGCUGCAUGGUGGGGGUUGGAAAGUUUCGGCGGUUGUGGAUGGACUCGCGGAUUAUCAGCUUGUUGGUGGGGUAGUGGCUUACCAAGGCUUUGACGGGUAGCCGGCCUGUGAGGGUGACCGGCCACAUGGGUACUGAGAGACGGCCCAGACUCCAACGGGAGGCAGCAGUGGGGAAUAUUGCACAAUGGUCGGAAGCCUGAUACAGCGACGCCGCGGGCGGGAUGACGGCCUUCGGGUUGUGAACCGCUUUCGCCUGUGACGAAGCGUGAGUGACGGUAAUGGGUAAAGAAGCACCGGCUAACUACGUG